GAGAAAAAUUCAGGGAAAAUUAGGGACAGCCUGCAAGCGCACUGUGAAGCCGUGUUCGGACCCCGAAACGAGUAAGGACCCCUCACCCUAUUUUCUAUCACGAUCUUAAAGUUCAGUAAAUGAUAAAACGGUAUUUCAUGAAUCAACGAAUGUGUGAAAUUGCUUAAGGUCGUUAAUGGAGCCCGAGUCUAGUGUGUUUGUCGGUUAACUGUUAUUUGGCAUGUUUUACAGUUUUAAAUGC
rnacentral:lncRNA from 1 species